UACGAAGGGGGCUAGCGUUGUUCGGAAUCACUGGGCGUAAAGGGCGCGUAGGCGGCUUUGUAAGUCGGGGGUGAAAGCCUGUGGCUCAACCACAGAAUUGCCUUCGAUACUGCAUGGCUUGAGACCGGAAGAGGUUAGUGGAACUGCGAGUGUAGAGGUGAAAUUCGUAGAUAUUCGCAAGAACACCAGUGGCGAAGGCGGCUGACUGGUCCGGAUCUGACGCUGAGGCGCGAAAGCGUGGGGAGCAAACAGGAUUGGAAAACAUGUAGUCC
rnacentral:rRNA from 1 species